rnacentral:rRNA from 1 species
UGGGGAAUAUUGCACAAUGGGCGAAAGCCUGAUGCAGCGACGCCGCGUGAGCGAUGAAGGCCUUCGGGUCGUAAAGCUCUGUCCUAAGGGAAGAAACCUGACGGUACCUUAGGAGGAAGCCCCGGCUAACUACGUGCCAGCAGCCGCGGUAAUACGUAGGGGGCGAGCGUUGUCCGGAUUUACUGGGCGUAAAGGGUGUGUAGGCGGCCUAGCAAGUCAGGGGUUAAAGCCCUCGGCUCAACCGAGGUAAGCCCUUGAAACUGUUAGGCUUGAGCGCAGGAGAGGAGAGUGGAAUUCCUAGUGUAGCGGUGAAAUGCGUAGAUAUUAGGAGGAACACCAGUGGCGAAGGCGACUCUCUGGACUGUAGCUGACGCUGAGACACGAAAGCGUGGGGAGCGAACAGG